CAAAGCUGGGCUGGGGCCGUACCUCAUGGUGGCGAUGGCGCUCAUGGCCUGCUGCCGCAGCUCUGUGUCCAGGCGGUCGGCGGGCUCCUCCUGCAGCAGCUCCUGAGAGCACAGUGGGAUGGGAUGGGAUGGGAUGGGAUGGUGAGGUGUGCCCUGCUUGGUAGGCAGAGCCCGGGCACCCCAUCCUGGCCCCACAUCCCAACUCCCGGGCUCCCCAGGGACCCCGCAGUGGGAAGGGCUGUGCCCAGCGCCCGGCCCUGCGGUGCUCCCCUUACCUCAAUGCACUGCGCCACCUCUGAUGCGCAGGCACUCAGGUGCUUGUGAGCCUCUCUGUCCUUGAGGGCAGCUGUGCAGGCGGUGCGGACGCAGGCCAGAAAGCUCAGCUUCUGUGCCUGUGCCUGAGACAGGGAGGGGAGUUACAGGUGUCGGCAUCAGGGGACCCCGGCACCCUCUGGGCAUGGCCGGGCAGGGGCAGCCCGGGAAGCACAGAGUGCCCGCUACCUGGGGUCUGCGUGUACAGCAGGCACGGAUGCAGCUCAGGGGAUCCUCCUCCUGCGGUGACACGACGGAGGCUGAAGGAUCCUCAGCUGAGUCCACGGGCCCCUGCAGGGGCUGCACCCCACACACCUUACGAGGCCCGUGCUGGGCCAUGGAGGUGCGGGAUGCCCUAGGCUUCUCCAGCCAGGCCUCUCGGGGUAGGCUCGGGGAUCUCUGUUCCAUCUCGCAGUGAGGGAACAGCGGCAAAUGCGCCUCCUGUUCCAACUCUGCCUUCAGGGGGACGAGGCCCACUGUGACGUGGCAGGGAUGUCACCGCAUUCUACCCGGCUCCACCCAGGCCCCCUUCCCUUGCCCUGGGCGUGGCCCAGAGCCCCGCAGCCAUCCCUGUCCGUGGGCAGUUUUGGUCUGGGAGGAGCCCUCGACUUCACUGUGUGCAUUUGCCACAGCUGCAGCGUUGGGGUCUGGGAGUCCUUCUCGGGGCCCUUCAGCCCAUCCCCGCAUCCCCCCCAGUAAAAUUAAACUGUGUCACGGUUUCCAGUGGGACGGAGUUGAUUUUUCCUUCUUGGCAUAUGGUGCUCUAUUUUGGCUUUAGGAGAAACACAAACAGGGUUGAUGACACGGCAGCGUUUCUAGCUGUUGCUGAGCAGUGCUGCACUGAGCUGUGGGCAUUUCAGCUUCUCCUUGUGUCCUGCUGGUGAAAGGCUGAGGGGGUACCAGGAGCCGGGAGCGCACAGAACUGGGGCGGCUUGUGGCAACUUAGGCAUGGACUCCGUUGCUAGUGCAGGACAAAGACCUUUAUUGUACAUGGUCACAACCCUUUAUACCCCUGCAACAGCGCCUUGUCCUCGUGCAUAUUUACAUCUUGCACAACUGCUGAGCUUGUUUACUCAUCCCAAGGUCUUUUGGAUAUCAGUGCGCUUUGUUUUCAUGUGGUCCCACAUCUGUGCACACCGUCACAAGGGGCGGGCAGCAACAUCUCCAUUGCAAGCUCUGUUAUGCAAGAUGGAGAGAUGGAAGUAAGAACUCAGGGGAGCAAAGAUCCUUGGUUUUAUUUUAGUAUCGUGAUGCUGGUGUGCCUGUUCAUAUUUCUUGGGAUUUAUACACAGUUGAAAAUGUGAUCGCUGUCUGAUUUGAUUAAAUCUCAUUGCAGUACCAUCUGCAAACAACACUCAACUGGGAGGAGCUGCAGAGAGAUGCUGACAAAUUGGAGGGCUGGGCAACUGCGCAGUUGUUCUUCCUUCCUCAUCCUGGGUCCGGAGGGCAUCAUCGAUGCUGAGGUUAUGGGAGAAGAGUAACUUCGGUGCUUCCAGCCGAGAAGUGCCCUUUGCAAGGAAAGAAGAUGCAGAACGUCUCUGGCCAUCCUCACCUCCUCCGCUGCCCCAGGCUCAUCUCAUGGGAACGCCCCUCCCAGCCAGGAGGACGUGCUGGGAGCUGGGCCAUGCGCACACACACGGCCGUCCCUCGCUCUGAGCAGAAGGUGCGUCCUCUUCUCCCCGACGAUCUGCCGGCCGGUCCCGUCUGCCCAACAGCCGCUGUUCUUCUGCCGGCGCUAGGGCAGCACCGGGCGCUGUUCCUGCCUCCAGCUGCGGAGGAGGCAAAGUGACGGCCAGGGGCUCAAGCAGCGCAUCUGCAGCACAGACAAGAGAAGUUCCUGUUAUCGCGAGCCACUGUCUGUCUCAUUAUCAGCUACCUCUCCAUCAAGAACGUUGCUUUCCACGACCUAUGUCCCCAUGACAUACCUAGCCAUGCCCUCCCCCUGCCCCUCGCACAGCCCGCACUGGGCUGCCAGCCCAUCACCUGCAGCUGCCCUGGUGGGGCCGCAGCUGCAAGCGGGGCAGUGCGGGGCUGCUGGGGCUGCCAGGGAGGCGGCUGCAGCACGAGUACCUUCCUGUGAGCAGAAGGCGCGUCUUCUUCUCCGUGAUGCUCUGCUGGCAGGACGGGUCUCUGCAGAGCUGCUGUUCUUCUGCCAGCGCUGGGGCAGCAUCAGGCGUUGGUCUUCACCCCAUGCUGGCGGGGAGAGUGGUGUCCCAGGACACAGUGGCUCGUCUGAAACAGAGAUAAAGUUCUUUUCAGCAACUUUCUAUAUUGUACUCUAUAAACUAACUAUCUCCCAGUCACCCAUCUUUCUAUCCUGCAUCCCCCUAUCAGCUAUCUGGCUAUGAUCUAACUACAUCACUACCAACUCUUGCUUGCUGCUAACUACCUUGCUAUCCACAAACCUCCUCUCUACCAAUAACCCACCUAGCUAUCUGCUAUCUGUUCACUGCCUGUACCACCAUCAGCUAUCUAUCUCACUAUCUAUGUCGCUAUCAACUAUCAUGCUACCCACUAACUAUCUAUACAACAACUAUCUCUAUAUCCUCUUCUUCAUCAUCUACAUCUACCGGCCCCUGAUCCCCCCCCGGGGCUGCUCUCCUCCCGUCCCUCACACUGCCCGCUCUGGGCUGCCAGCCCGUGAU
ensembl:lncRNA